rfam:Musa acuminata subsp. malaccensis Doubled-haploid Pahang (DH-Pahang) genomic chromosome, chr4
GACAACAAUGAUGAGCCUACGGACUUGUAAUGAUUAUUGAAGAUAUGAUUGCAUAAUCAAAGAACAUCUAAUGGACUACGUUGUC